GAUUCAUGACUGGGGUGAAGUCGUAACAAGGUAACCGUAGGGGAACCUGCGGUUGGAUCACCUCCUUACCUUAAAGAAGC
rnacentral:rRNA from 3 species